UGGCUGUGUGCCUGAGCCCAUGCAUCCCAAGGAUCUCUGAGCAUGAGCCAGGGUGGCCCAGGGGCUCACAGGAAUUCCCCUUCUGCUCUGAGCCCACCAGAGCUGGCUAUACAAUGAUAACUUCACCCCCCUCGCCCCCCAUGGGCAGCACCUGCUCCCUGGGUCUCCCCUGGUGGCCCUAUUAUCCCGCACCUGCUGCUUCCCCACCUGCUCCCUAUUCUUAGCCCCCUCCCCAUAGCACACCCUGUUCAUCACUAGGCCCAGCUGCCUGCUCUGACAGCCAGCCAGGAAGGGGUAAUAGAACCAGGAGAGGUAGCAUGGAGGGCCCAAGGACAGAGGGUCCAGAGGCCAGUCCAGCUCUGUUUGACUAGUAGUGUGUAUGCUUACAAUGGACUCCAUCUCAGGGCCUCAGUCUCCCCACCUGUGAAGUAGGAACCGCAAGCCCUGACCUCAACUUUCUACAAAAACUUUACUGCUUGGAAGAUCUUAGGCCAUCGUGUUUCAAGAUCUGAGUUACAGAGGACAACCAGGUUGGGGAGAGGAGGGAGGUGAUGUGCCUUCGGCUGUAUUCCCAGGGCUAUGUCUGUUAGACUACAAGGAGGCCAGGGCAUUUCUCUGAUUACUGAAGAAUCCUUUGUGGGCUAUUUAAGUAAGGUGUGGACCCAGCCUGGGUGCCAGGCAACAGGUAGAUGAAUAAGGAAACUGUGAUUAUACAACAUGGAGGCUUAUCCUACCGCAAGAAUCAGUGCUGUGUGCAGGAAAAGAAAUGGGGCUGCAAAGCCUUGUGUUACAUCAAAGAAGCCAGAUGCAGAAAGACAGAAGCCACGAUCUCUCCCACGAAAGAAGUGGACCAUGAGGACAAAGAGCGGGACAAGGGAGGGUGACGCAACCUUCACGUGCAUGAAGAUGCUAAUGUUCCCAGAUGUGAGCUCUCAGCUAUUCCUGCCAUCAUGCCUGCUGCUUGCUGCUGUGAUUCCCAACUGUAACGGGGAUGGAGUCCUAUCCCCCUAGAACCAUUAGUCCAACAUAAAUCCUUCUGCACGU
rnacentral:lncRNA from 1 species